GAUGAACGCUGGCGGCGUGCUUAAUACAUGCAAGUCGAGCGAACGGACGAGAAGCUUGCUUUUCUGAUGUUAGCGGCGGACGGGUGAGUAACACGUGGAUAACCUACUUAUAAGACUGGGAUAACUUCGGGAAACCGGCGCUAAUCCCGGAUAAUAUUUUGAACCGCAUGGUUCAAAGGUGAAAGACGGUCUUGCUGUCACUUCUAGAUGGAUCUGCGCUGCAUUAGCUAGUUGGUAAGGUAACGGCUUAUCAAGGCAACGAUGCAUAGCCGACCUGAGAGGGGGAUCGGCCACACGGGAACUGAGACACGGUCCUGACUCCUACGGGAGGCAGCAGUAGGGAAUCGUCCGCAGUAGGCGAGAGCCUGACGGAGCAGCGCCGCGUGAGUGAUGAAGGUCUUCGGAUCGUAAAACUCUGUUAUUAGGGAAGAACAGAUGUGUAAGUAACUGUGCACAUCUUGACGGUACCUAAUCAGAAAGCCACGGCUAACUACGUG
rnacentral:rRNA from 1 species